ACUGGAUGGCAUUUUUAAUUCACGUGGAAAAGCUUUAAGCUGUUAGCUGCCUAUCUGAAGCUGUCUUAUAGAGCUUAUGCAGUGUUGUGUCUUUAUUGCACACCAACAUCUGCACAGAAUGUUCCAAGCGGAGGAGGAGAAAGCCUCUGGGUGGGUCUCUGCAGCUGCUCAAGGGACCCAGUAAGCAGCCGAGUGUGCCUGCUGAGCCAAAAGGGUCGAGCAGAAUGCUGGGGUGUGGGCUUGUGGAGGAGGCCUUUGCCUCAGUGGAACUGCUCUGGCUGAGAUUAUUCUCUCAUCACAGCCUGGAGCUAGCGGUCACAGAAAGGAGCGGUCACUUCUGCAGCUCCACAUUGCUGGGAGCUUAGGGCUUGCUGGAACACAUAUUUUGAGUUCAGUGCUGAAACAUCGGACCUUGCAGCGCUAAACCAGGGUGUUAAGACUCCAAUCAUGGGUGGGCCACAGUACUGUAGAGUUUAGUAGCAUUGUAGUACUGAAGAUCAGUCUUGAAUCUUGGUAUUGUCAUGAACCUGGAUACGUUUGUUCAGGGCUUGGGCUCCAGGAUCGAACGUGAGUGACAUUCAAUGUGGAAUUUAAUAAUUAUGUAGUUACUAAUUUAAAAAAAAAUGGAAAUGCUCCAUUCCUACCCAUGUAGCUGUAGUGAACUCCAGUGCACUCUCAUUAUCAGGGGCUCUUUAGUCCUGUAUAGUGUAUUCACUCAAAGUCAACAUAUAAUUUACGGGGACACUACUUUGAAUUUUUACACUAAGGAUUUUCUUCAAAUCUUGUUGGUGUCACCUGAAUGUUGAAGCCAUGGUCACAAAGAGCUUACAAAGCAUGCAUGGCAUCUCACAUCUUGAAAGGUGUCAAUCAGGAGAGGGGUAUAAUUUUUUUUCCAAAACAUACUUGAAGGUCAUAUGACAGCCAUCAUCAACAAGUGGAAAAAAAAUCACCAAGAACAGUACAUCUCUCAAAAAAUUACAAAAGAACAAGGCAAAAACUUACCAGGGAGGCUGGUAAAAGACCUACAGCAACAUUAAAGGUGCUGCAGGAAUAUCUGACAAGUACUGAUUACUCUCUGCAUGUGUAUCUCAUAGUCUUCACAUGUCUGGGCUAUGUGGCGGGGUGGCUAGACACAAGCCCAUUCUCACAAAAAACAUCCAAGCUCAACUAAAUCACCCCAAACCAUGUGCCAAAAUAAGUUAUGGUCCGAUUAGACCAAUUUGAAAAGGUAUAAUAAUUCCAUAAUUCCAAAAUGUUUGUUUGGUACAAAAUAAAGCACAUCAACAAAAGAACACCAUACCUACGGUGAAGCAUGGUGGUGGCAGCAUCAUACUUUAGGGUUUUUAUUCCUCAGCCAGAACUGUGGGUUUUACUAGAGUAGAGAGAAACAUAAAUAGCUACAAAUACCAGCAAGAUGAAAAUCAAUUUUACCUUUCAGUAUGACAUUGACUACGUUUACAUGGACAGCUAAUUAUUGACCUUAUUCUGAAUAAGAUAAUAUUGUGAUUAAGGUGUUUACAUGAAUUGCUUUUAGAAUACUCCUUUCAUGUUCCCGUUUUGCGUGUAAUAGAACAUAGAUUGAUUAACAGCACACGUCAUUACGUCACCGCGUCACGCCGUUCGACGUUCCCUCCAGAAUUUCACGUAUUGACAUACAGUUGGUCUUCGUUAUGGUACUGUAUACAGUUUUGGCUGUUUCAUUCUUAAUUUUACGAAAGCUUCAACUGCAGUUAAUUAUUUGUCAUGCUAUACGUGUAAAUAGACGACUGCUUGAAGCCGUGGGCUGUGUCAGAAACCACGUACUUACCUACUGUAUAGUAGCCGAACUAUGUGUAUUUCUCCUACUAUACAGUAGGUAAGUACACGGUUUUGGACGCAGCCAUGCUCUCUUGCCGUCAAAUAGUUGAGCACUGCCGUGUGUGUGUGUUUCCUGUCACAAAAUGUUGUGAAAACUCCCACACGACAUUAAUAGUUUGUGUUUACUUCAAGUAGUAGUAGUAGAAGAAGAAGCAGCCUUUAUUUGUCAUGUAUACAUUACAGCACAGGGAAAUUCUUUUUUCAUAUAUCCCAGCUUGUCAGGAAGUUGGGGUAAGAGUGCAGGGUCAGCCAUGAUACAGCACCCCUGGAUUAAGGGCCCAACAGUGGCAGCUUGGCGGUGCUGGGGCUUGAACCCCUGAGCUUCCAAUCAGUAACCCAGAGCCUUAACCGUUGAGCCACCACUACCCCAAUGUCCUCUACUUAUGAUUUUAGUCGGAUUAAGGUAAUCAAUAAUCACUGUUUACGUGGUAGUUUCUUAAUCAGGGUAUUGUCUUAAUCGGGUUAAUAUCGGAUUAUUGUUGCCUGUGUAAACGUUCUGAAUGACACAAAGUAUACAUCCAAAUCAACAAAGGAAUGGCUUAACCAAAAAAAGAUCAGUGUUUUUGAAUGGCCUAUUCAGAGCCAUCAUAAAAAU
ensembl:lncRNA